rnacentral:rRNA from 1 species
GACGGGCCCGCACAAGCAGCGGAGCGUGUGGUUUAAUUCGACGCAACGCGAAGAACCUUACCAGGGCUUGACAUCCCCUGACCGCGUAUGAAAGUACGUUUUCACCCUCGGGUGACAGGGAGACAGGUGGUGCAUGGUUGUCGUCAGCUCGUGUCGUGAGAUGUUGGGUUAAGUCCCGCAACGAGCGCAACCCCUACGUUUAGUUGCUAACAGGUGAAGCUGAGCACUCUAGACGAACUGCCGUUGACAAAACGGAGGAAGGUGGGGAUGACGUCAAAUCAUCAUGCCCCUUAUGACCUGGGCUACACACGUGCUACAAUGGUUGGUACAACGAGUUGCGAGUCGGUGACGGCGAGCUAAUCUCUUAAAGCCAAUCUCAGUUCGGAUUGUAGGCUGCAACUCGCCUACAUGAAGUCGGAAUCGCUAGUAAUCGCGGAUCAGCACGCCGCGGUGAAUACGUUCCCGGGCCUU